ACCUGCACGUUGAAGAGAAGAGUACAUUCUGGAGUAUGUUUAUAGAGAGCCUCUGUUGGUGGGAUGAGGUAGCGGAAAAGGGAUGGAAGAUGGUCUUGGAGUGAAACGGUCGAAGGUUCUGUGAACUUCAAACCGUUACGGGUGCGCCCGAUAAAGCGCCACAGUAUCAGUAAGUCUAUAGGACUGAACGCACUGGUUAAGGCAGUCACUGUGAAGUGGUUGUAAAUCAAGGUGGUAACGCGAGAGAAUUUUAUUUUCCGUCCUUGCA
rnacentral:ncRNA from 1 species